rnacentral:rRNA from 1 species
GAUCCUGAGUACGACGGAGCACGUGAAAUUCCGUCGGAAUCUGGGAGGACCAUCUCCUAAGGCUAAAUACUCUCUAGUGACCGAUAGUGAACCAGUACCGUGAGGGAAAGGUGAAAAGCACCCCGGAAGGGGAGUGAAAUAGAACCUGAAACCGUGUGCUUACAAGUAGUCAGAGCCCGUUAAUGGGUGAUGGCGUGCCUUUUGUAGAAUGAACCGGCGAGUUACGAUUUGAUGCAAGGUUAAGCAGUAAAUGUGGAGCCGUAGCGAAAGCGAGUCUGAAUAGGGCGUUUAGUAUUUGGUCGUAGACCCGAAACCAGGUGAUCUACCCUUGGUCAGGUUGAAGUUCAGGUAACACUGAAUGGAGGACCGAACCGACUUACGUUGAAAAGUGAGCGGAUGAACUGAGGGUAGCGGAGAAAUUCCAAUCGAACCUGGAGAUAGCUGGUUCUCUCCGAAAUAGCUUUAGGGCUAGCCUCAAGUGAUGAUUAUUGGAGGUAGAGCACUGUUUGGACGAGGGGCCCCUCUCGGGUUACCGAAUUCAGACAAACUCCGAAUGCCAAUUAAUUUAACUUGGGAGUCAGAACAUGGGUGAUAAGGUCCGUGUUCGAAAGGGAAACAGCC